rnacentral:rRNA from 1 species
UGUGUUAGUGGAAGCGUCUGGAAAGGCGCGCGAUACAGGGUGACAGCCCCGUACACAAAAGCGCAUGUGCUGUGAGCUCGAUGAGUAGGGCGGGACACGUGGUAUCCUGUCUGAAUAUGGGGGGACCAUCCUCCAAGGCUAAAUACUCCUGACUGACCGAUAGUGAACCAGUACCGUGAGGGAAAGGCGAAAAGAACCCCGGCGAGGGGAGUGAAAAAGAACCUGAAACCGUGUACGUACAAGCAGUGGGAGCACAGGUUUACCUGUGUGACUGCGUACCUUUUGUAUAAUGGGUCAGCGACUUAUAUUCUGUAGCAAGGUUAACCGAAUAGGGGAGCCGGAGGGAAACCGAGUCUUAAUUGGGCGUUAAGUUGCAGGGUAUAGACCCGAAACCCGGUGAUCUAGCCAUGGGCAGGUUGAAGGUUGGGUAACACUAACUGGAGGACCGAACCGACUAAUGUUGAAAAAUUAGCGGAUGACCUGUGGCUGGGGGUGAAAGGCCAAUCAAACCGGGAGAUAGCUGGUUCUCCCCGAAAGCUAUUUAGGUAGCGCCUCGUGAAUUCAUCUCCGGGGGUAGAGCACUGUUUCGGCUAGGGGGCCAUCCCGGCUUACCAACCCGAUGCAAACUGCGAAUACCGGAGAAUGUUAUCACGGGAGACACACGGCGGGUGCUAACGUCCGUCGUGAAGAGGGAAACAACCCAGACCGCCAGCUAAGGUCCCAAAGUCAUGGUUAAGUGGGAAACGAUGUGGGAAGGCCCAGACAGCCAGGAUGUUGGCUUAGAAGCAGCCAUCAUUUAAAGAAAGCGUAAUAGCUCACUGGUCGAGUCGGCCUGCGCGGAAGAUGUAACGGGGCUAAACCAUGCAC